rnacentral:rRNA from 1 species
CAACGAGCGCAACCCUUACUUUUUAGUUGCCAUCAUUUAGUUGGGCACUCUGAAAGAACUGCCAGUGAUAAGCUGGAGGAAGGUGGGGAUGACGUCAAGUCCUCAUGGCCCUUACGUGUUGGGCUACACACGUGCUACAAUGGCAUUUACAAUAGGAAGCAAGAUGGCGACAUCAAGCAAAUCCUAAAAAAAUGCCUCAGUUCGGAUUGCACUCUGCAACUCGAGUGCAUGAAGCUGGAAUUACUAGUAAUCGUGGAUCAGCGUGCCACGGUGAAUACGUUCCCGGGUCUUGUACACACCGCCCGUCACACCAUGGGAGUUGGUUCUACCUUAAGGCAANNCUUAAAACCUUUGACCACGGUAUAGUCAGCGACUGGGGUGAAGUCGUAACAAGGUAACC